UUAUACACGGAAGUAUAAGUGAAAGUAGAAGUAAAAUAGGUAUAACUACACACAAGGUCAAUGCAGCAGCAGACAACUAGUAGAUUUAGUUGUCUGUAGGAAAUGACAACACAUUUACAGUCUAGUAGAUUUAGUUGUCUAUAGGAAAUGACAACACAUUUACAGUCUAGUUUGAUUUGUUUCCUAAUAUCCUUUCAGGUUGUAUUACAAUCAUCCAGUGAUCCACAUAACAUUAGGAUGAACCCUGCUAUUCUCCACUCAGGCGGAGAGAGAAAGAUGAUUAAACGAUAAGCCUUCUGCCGAGGCAGCGUAGCUACAACGCUUGAGCUGGUCCCAUGGAUGAAUCAGAGCGAUCCUGCAUUUUGGGAAUGUAGGAAAAACAUGUCAAAUGAACAUUCAGAAGAAUAACCAGAGGCACAAUGGCAACCACUAAACAGACUGCUGUGAAGUAUGGCAACCACUAAACAGACUGCUGUGAAGUAUGGCGACCACUAAACAGACUGCUGUGAAGUAUGGCAACCACUAAACAGACUUCUGUGAAGUAUGGCAACCACUAAACAGACUGCUGUGAAGUAUGGCGACCACUAAACAGACUGCUGUGAAGUAUGGUAACCACUAAACAGACUGCUGUGAAGUAUGGUAACCACUAAACAGACUGCUGUGAAGUAUGGCAACCACUAAACAGACUGCUGUGAAGUAUGGCAACCACUAAACAGACUGCUGUGAAGUAUGGCAACCACUAAACAGACUGCUGUGAAGUAUGGCGACCACUAAACAGACUGCUGUGAAGUAUGGCACAGAC
rnacentral:lncRNA from 1 species